rnacentral:lncRNA from 1 species
UCAUUUUGGUCCACCUAUCUGAAAAAGCGUGAAGAAUAUCCGGCUGCUAACUCAGCAUAUGUGACCACAUUCACCUCUGUCUGCCUGCGAGAUUAUACUCCAUAUUGUAGAAACCUCCUGCAUUGUAUGACUACCUUCAGACUAAGAAGGAAUUGUCAAAAAGAGUACGUGUAGAAACUAGGUUGCUGGAAGGAAUACGUUUCUCAGUAGAUUGCCUUGCCCACCAGAGUGACGUGAAGAUUGGUGAUGGUCUCCCUCUCGUCCCAAAGAAAUCCUCCAUGUUCAGAGUAUUUCUCAUUGAGCACCUGCUGGCAUUGGACCAUACAGUCAGUCUAUCAAGGUGAGUAGAUGUGCUUAAGGUUUUCUUAUUUUUGUGGCAAUUGACUAAAUAUGUGAAGUUGACAGGUUGGCCCUUUUUUCAUAACAAAGUUUUCAAUUCAAGUAUAGUCUUAUCAUAUUAGUGAUCCCAGGUAUGUAGAGUGACAUGUUUAAGAGGGGAACCUCAUUUAUUGGCAAAAACAAUUAAGCAAUUUUAUGUAUUAUUUCAUCUAUACAAAGUUAAUAAAAACAAAUGCUCUGCAGAUUUUUGGUAAUUA